rnacentral:rRNA from 1 species
UACGGAGGGGGCUAGCGUUGUCCGAAGUUACUGGGCGUAAAGCGCGCGUAGGCGGGUUGGUAAGUCCGCUGUGAAAGCCCGGAGCUUAACUCCGGAGGGUCGGUGGAUACUGCCAGUCUUGAAGGUGCUAGGGGGAGAUGGAAUUACCGGUGUAGCAGUGAAAUGCGUAGAUAUCGGUAGGAACACCAGUGGCGAAGGCGGUCUCCUGGGGCUUUCUUGACGCUGAGGCGCGAAAGCUGGGGGAGCAAACGGG